AGAGCACUGUAAAGAAAGAUCACU
rnacentral:siRNA from 1 species